AUGCUAUUCUGGUAUGCUAAACAAACCUUUGGAGAUAAAUUAGCAGCAUGACUAAAUUUAGCCAUUGCUGUCAACUGCCUUCAAACAAGU
rnacentral:snoRNA from 1 species